CGGGUGGCAGCAGUGGGGAAUAUUGGACAAUGGGCGCAAGCCUGAUCCAGCCAUGCCGCGUGAGUGACGAAGGCCUUAGGGUUGUAAAGCUCUUUUGGCGGGGACGAUAAUGACGGUACCCGCAGAAUAAGCCCCGGCUAACUUCGUGCCAGCAGCCGCGGUAAUACGAAGGGGGCUAGCGUUGUUCGGAAUUACUGGGCGUAAAGCGCACGUAGGCGGAUGUGCCAGUCAGGGGUGAAAUCCCGAGGCUCAACCUCGGAACUGCCUCCGAUACAGCACGUCUCGAGUCCGGAAGAGGUGAGUGGAAUUCCUAGUGUAGAGGUGAAAUUCGUAGAUAUUAGGAAGAACACCAGUGGCGAAGGCGGCUCACUGGUCCGGUACUGACGCUGAGGUGCGAAAGCGUGGGGAGCAAACAGGAUUAGAUACCCGAGU
rnacentral:rRNA from 1 species